rnacentral:misc_RNA from 1 species
GGAAGUAAAAGCGUAACAAGGUUUCCAUAGGUGAACCUGCGGAAGGAUCAUUAUUGUAUAACCGAGGUGCGAGGGCUGUCGCUGACCCGAAAGGUCGUGCACGCCCGAGUGCCCUCACACACAUCCAUCUCACCCCUAUGUGCACCACCGCGUGGGUCCCCCUUUGGCUUGUUCGGAGGGGGGCUUACGUUUUCACACAAACUUUGUAUGCAGUGUAGAAUGUAUUUUUUGUUUUUGCGAUCACGCAAUCAAUACAACUUUCAACAACGGAUCUCUUGGCUCUC